GGGUCGGGGGAAGAACCGGAAGUUGUGCUGAACCUUCACCUCCCCUGGGCACUGAAGGAAACGCAAGCUCUGCGAGAGAGGUUCCGACGCCGCCUGGGUUGGAGGAGACAGAAUGGAGACCGCGAUCGAAGACGCGGGACUGGACCGCGGCCCGACGCUGACCUCGUCCUGGGAUGCGGCGUGCGGGGCGCUGACCCAAAACCUUCUUCUUACCCGGACUGGGCCACGUGCCCAAGACUUGGACUUCGAGCAGCUACUGGAGCCGCCAGCUCCGAGCCAGGAUCCGGUUAGUCUGAAAAGCAGCCUGAGCCCCCGAGAAGAAAACCCCUGCUUCAUUUACCUGAACUGUGGCCCUAAUGGGGGUGAAGAAAUCCUUUCGGUUGGUGUUCUGAGUUCAGCAAGAAACAUGGAAGUAUACUUAGGAGAGGAGUAUUGUGGAACCAGUCGAGGCAGGACUGCCUGCACUGUCCUGGAUGACAGUGAACAUGAAAAGAUCUUGUUAUACAAAAAAUACCUAAAAUUGGAUUCUCCCACGCAUGCCUGUAAAAUAAAGCUGUUGUCCUUCGGGGAGAAGCAGUGUGUGCUUGUCAGUAAGGUUGUGGUGCACUUGAGGCCACGGUCUGCAGAUCCUUCACCGCGCUCUGCUGCUCUGGGAUCACGGAUAGACCUUGACAAUAUCCAAACCAUAAUGGAGUCCAUGGGGUCCAAGUUAUCCCCUGGGGCGCAGCAGCUGAUGAGCAUGAUUAGGUUUCAGCAGCAGAAUUGUCUUCCCAUCGGGGAUCAGCUUCAGUCGGUGUUGGGAAGCGCAGGACACAAGCAUCUGAUGGCGCUGCAGUCACCGUCUCCAGCCGUCUUAGACAAGGCAUCCUCUACACCUUUCCCUUUUAGAACUGGAUUGACCCCUUCAGCCAUCACUGAAAAUUUAAAGGCUCUUAUUGAUAAAAGCACACAGCCAUCUGGAGAAGGAAAUACCACAAACCACGAUGAGUGUCACCUUAUGCCACAAAACCAUUCCCUUGAAAGUGAUCUUAAAAACGCAGUGUCUUCUUUCUUACCAAAGAAGGCAAGCGGCAGCUCAAGUGUGCCCAGCUCUGAGCUGCUGCCUUUUCUCCAGAACUUAUGUACUCAGGUCAACCAUCUCCGCGUGGGACAUAAUGCCAGGUGGCAAGAAAACAUCUCCAAGCCCCGAGAGGGCAUUGUCGGGGUUCCGUAAGUAUUUUAUUUUAAGUCAAAUUUAGUUGAGAUUUGGUAGGAGGAAGAAUGAGAUGAAGGGGAACAGCUUUGCCUCAGGUGCGCUGUCUGGUGAGCUGUUGUCAGCAUUUACCGUUCAUCCCUGCCAUUGCUGGUUAGGAACAGAAUCGAGUGACUGCAUAGGUUGGUGCUGCAUGGUUUCAGGCAUUCAUGGAAGGUUGCAGCUAUCGGCUAAUGGUUGCAGUAGAAAGCUGUGCGCAUGACUUUGGAGGAACCGUGAGAAUUUAUAAUUUUUGAUUAGGCUUGUUAUGAAUGUCACUGUAAGAGAUUACCUUACAGCCUGUGUCGGCUACAAGUUACUUUUAUAGUCAACAGCUGUAGUGGGGUGGGAAUUAUUUAUAGUGCAGGGCCUCUUAUCCUCUGACCUCAAUGCAUUAUCUUUGCAGCAUUUAUUUGAUUAAGAUGUUGCCAAAUAGCAUAUUAUUAUUAUUUUGGUUUUGGUUUUUUGAGACAGGGUUUCUCUGUGUAGCCCUGGCUGUCCUGGAACUCACUUUGUAGGCCAGGCUGGCUUCGAACUCAGACAUCCGCCUGCCUCUGCCUCCCAAGUGCUGGGAUUAAAGGCGUGCGCCACCACACCCGGCCCCAAAUAGCAUUUUUUUAUUCCUUUUCACAGAUACAGUUUGUCAAAGUAGUGUUCUACUUGAGAUAUAGAACUCUGGUCAUAGCUCACAAUAACCAUUUUACUCUGUUUAAUCUGUCUUAGUUUAAAGUUUACAUCUGAACAUGGUACUUUUAUUAGUUGGAAAUAAACAUCACCAACCAACAUGAUUACUUCAGCACUUAUAUUAGGUUCUAUCGACAAUAGCAGAAUAGCUUUUUCAUGUCUGUGGAAGAUUCACAUAAAUGUAUUGUAUUUCAAGUCAUAAAACAGCCUCACCAAAUUUAAGAGUACUGAAAUCAUAGAAGGUAUUUUCUCCACCCAUAAAGAUAGAUUAAAAAAUCACUUAACAGUGAAGGAAAGACAAUAAGAGAAUUUCCAAACACUUGAUGAUUAAGCAACACAGUUUAUGUGUUUCAGUAAGUCUGGGAGUUGGAGAAAUGGCUCAGUUGGUAAAGUGCUUGCUGUGCAACAGUAAGGACCUGAGUUUCAGACCUUAGCAUCCAUCGCUUUUAAAAAAAAUAAAACCUGAGUGUGGUGGUGUGUGCCUAUAAUCCUGGUCCUGAGGAGACACAGGCAGGAGUACCUGUAGGGAUUACAGUACCUGUAGGAGUACCUGGCCCGCUAAUCUCACUAAAUCAGUGAGUUCUCGGCUCUAUGAAAGUCUCUGUCUCAACAAAUGUGACAGAGUGACAGAAGUAGUCACUGGAUGCCAGCCUCCUAUUCUAUAGCUCAUGUGUACAUCCAUGUUGGGCAUGUGCGCAUGCACAUCAGACACAAAGGAAGUCUCAACAAGAGUAUUUUUAAAAUACAUUAAGCUGAGUAAAAAUUCAGAGCCAGGAGUUUGUGGGCUGAAGUUACGGGUGAUGGCCAGGGUCUCUGGCAUCAUAUGGUGUUUUAGUGAAGACGGCUGUGAGGACAGUGACACAGAACUAUCCCAGAAGGAUGGGUGGACUGGAGAGAUGGCUCAGCAGGCAAGAACAUUGUUGCUUUAAUUUCCAGCACCUGGGUAACUCACAACUCUCACCAGCCUGUAAUGCUCGCUCGUCCGGUAGUUCAGUGCCCUCUCCUGACCACUGUGGGCACCAGGUGUGCAUGGAACAAGCAAAAUACUCACACAGGGCUAAAAAUUUUAAUUUAAACAAUGAAAUAGAUGCUCCGAGAAGUCGUAACACAUUAAAGACUGAAUUAAAAGAUCACUGGUGAUACAAACAGCGCCAGCAUUUGGGAAGCCAAAGGAGGAGGUUCACACGAUGGGAGAACAGUAAAGAGACCAACGAAAUAAGAAGGAUGGAAGAGCAGCCUGUUUGCUCCUACUUGGAAAAGAUUCUUUCUAAAAACAUGGAACUGAUGGAAAAGAAGCUUAUGGACCACAUUGAUGAGAGGAUCUAUCAGCUCCAGGAACACAUAGAUGCUAAAAUGGCUUUGUUAGUGGACUUGCUGCGAGGCCCCAACUCCCCACCCCCAGGGAUGCCUCUAAGACACUAUGACUCCAGAGAAAGACUUUCCAACGGGGAAAGAUAAGCUAUGCACACACUGCUAUUGCAGAUAUUUAUUAUAUAUUUAUUACAAAGCCAGAAUCCAAAAAGGUUGUGAAAAUGGAGUCUUUAAUGUUCUUUGAAGGACCGUUGUCUUACAUGAAGUGACCUCUGUGCUUGUUUGCAUUGCGCUUGUUACUGUAAAUCCAGGGCUGUGCGCCAGCAGCUAUCCUGAUACAGUCGUAAGUUAUUCUGCUUGCUAUAGUUUUCACUAUUACAGAAAUGUAUACUUGUGUUGCUCAACUGUUUCAGAUGUUUAAGGAGUUCUAAUGCACUUCGUUAGCUUGUAUUGUAUAUUACAUGUGUUUGAAGUGGAUUUUUUAUUUAUACAGAUACCUGUAAAAUAUAUAGUCUCAGGAGUGUGAAAAGUAAUAGUAAGAUAUUCGAUUUUUUUUUUUUCUAAUUAAUUUUGGAAGUUGGAGACUUGGGCUCUCUCUCAUUCAGAUCACCAGUUUCCACUUCCUGUUGUUUGAGGUGAACGUGUGCCGUAUUUGACCGUUUGAGAUAGUUUACACAGUGGGGGGAGUGCUGCUUGUUCAUUACAGUGCAGCUGGAGAUUGCUCGUUUCAGUCUUAGCAUUUCACAUUUGGUGCUGUGGGUUAGGUGAAAUGGAAGGCAGUUCUCUUCUGUAACUGACAGGGACUUCUCCCAGAGGCCUUUCUAGCAUGUAUAGAGUGUGACAUUCUGAGAAUCUAAAAUGAGGGUUAAGCUGUGAAUCCAGGGCACUGCAGUUCCCAGCCGACUAAGUUUUCAUCAGAAUUUUACUGUUAUAUUUGUGUUGCUGAUACAGCUGUGCCUAAAGAGAUUGCUCUGAAGACCACCAGUGAAUAGAAUUCUUUUCAGCUAA